rnacentral:rRNA from 1 species
ACUCUAAGCGGUGGAUCACUCGGCUCAUGGGUCGAUGAAGAACGCAGCAAACUGUGCGUCAUCGUGUGAACUGCAGGACACAUGAACAUCGACAUUUUGAACGCAUAUCGCAGUCCAUGCUGUUAUGUACUUUAAUUAAUUUUAUAGUGCUGCUUGGACUACAUAUGGUUGAGGGUUGUAAGACUAUGCUAAUUAAGUUGCUUAUAAAUUUUUAUAAGCAUAUGGUAUAUUAUUGGAUAAAUAUAAUAAUUUUUAUUCAUAAUAUUAAAAUAAAUGAAAAACAUUAUCUCACAUUUGAAUGUGAAAAACGAAGAGAAAUAUUUUCUUUUUCAAUCAAAUAAUACUGAGAAAUGUCUAGCAUAAAAAAUUGAAAUAUUUUUCAUCUAGAAUUGUCUCUUAUUAAUGAUUCGGAAAUAGAAAAAUCUUGGUUAUGUUAUUAUUCUUCGUUGGUUCGUUAAAAAUGGAUAAAUAAAAACUUUGCAUACAAGAAUUAAUAAAAAUGUUAUAACGAAUUUAAUUAAAUGUUUUAUCAUUAUAUAUAAAGAAUUUAUGGCAAGAUAAAGUUAUAUACAACCUCAACUCAUAUGGGACUACCCCUGAAUUUAAGCAUAUUAAUUAGGGGAGGAAAAGAACUAACAAGGAUUUUCUUAGUAGCGGCGAGCGAAAAGAAAACAGUUCAGCACUAAGUCACUUUGUCUAUAUGGCAAAUGUGAGAUGCAGUGUAUGGAGCGUCAAUAUUCUAGUAUGAGAAAUUAACGAUUUAAGUCCUUCUUAAAUGAGGCCAUUUACCCAUAGAGGGUGCCAGGCCCGUAUAACGUUAAUGAUUACUAGAUGAUGUUUCCAAAGAGUCGUGUUGCUUGAUAGUGCAGCACUAAGUGGGUGGUAAACUCCAUCUAAAACUAAAUAUAACCAUGAGACCGAUAGUAAACAAGUACCGUGAGGGAAAGUUGAAAAGAACUCUGAAUAGAGAGUUAAACAGUACGUGAAACUGCUUAGAGGUUAAGCCGAUGAACCUGAAUAUCCGUUAUGGAAAAUUCAUCAUUAAAAUUGUAAUAUUUAAAUAAUAUUAUGAGAAUAGUGUGCAUUUUUUCCAUAUAAGGACAUUGUAAUCUAUUAGCAUAUACCAAAUUUAUCAUAAAAUAUAACUUAUAGUUUAUUCCAAUUAAAUUGCUUGCAUUUUAACACAGAAUAAAUGUUAUUAAUUUGAUAAAGUGCUGAUAGAUUUAUAUGAUUACAGUGCGUUAAUUUUUCGGAAUUAUAUAAUGGCAAUAAUUAUCAUUGAUUUUUGUGUUUAUUAUAUGCACUUGUAUGAUUAACAAUGCGAAAGAUUCAGGAUACCUUCGGGACCCGUCUUGAAACACGGACCAAGGGUCUAACAUAUGUGCAAGUUAUUGGAUAUAAACUAAUAGCGUAAUUAACUUGACUAAUAAUGGGAUUAGUUUUUUAGCUAUUUAUAGCUAAUUAACACAAUCCCGGGGCGUUUCUUAUAGUUUAUGUAUAUGUAUAUUUAUAUUAUUUAUGCCUCUAACUGGAACGUACCUUGAGCAUAUAUGCUGUGACCGAAAGAUGGUGAACUAUACUUGAUCAGGUUGAAGUCAGGGAAACCCUGAUGGAAGACCGAAACAGUUCUGACGUGCAAAUCGAUUGUCAGAAUUGAGUAUAGGGGCGAAAGACCAAUCGAACCAUCUAGUAGCUGGUUCCUUCCGAAGUUUCCCUCAGGAAUAGCUGGUGCAUUUUAAUAUUAUAUAAAAUAAUCUUAUCUGGUAAAGCGAAUGAUUAGAGGCCUUAGGGUCGAAACGAUCUUAACCUAUUCUCAAACUUUAAAUGGGUAAGAACCUUAACUUUCUUGAUAUGAAGUUCAAGGUUAUGAUAUAAGUGCCCAGUGGGCCACUUUUGGUAAGCAGAACUGGCGCUGUGGGAUGAACCAAACGUAAUGUUAGCGGUGCCAAAUUAAACUCAUGCAGAUACCAUGAAAGGCGUUGGUUGCUUAAAACAGCAGGACGGUGAUCAUGGAAGUCGAAAUCCGCUAAGGAGUGUGUAACAACUCACCUGCCGAAACUGCCUUAAAAUGGAUGGCGCUUAAGUUGUAUACCUAUACAUUACCGCUAAAGUAGAUGAUUUAUAUUACUUGUGAUAUAAAUUUUGAAACUUUAGUGAGUAGGAAGGUACAAUGGUAUCGUAGAAGUGUUUGGCGUAAGCCUGCAUGGAGCUGCCAUUGGUACAGAUCUUGGUGGUAGUAGCAAAUAAUCGAAUGAGACCUUGGAGGACUGAAGUGGAGAAGGGUUUCGUGUGAACAGUGGUUGAUCACGAGUUAGUCGUCCUAAGUUCAAGGCGAAAGCCGAAAAUUUUCAAGUAAAACAAAAAUGCCUAACUAUAUAAAAAGCGAAUUAUAAUACACUUGAAUAAUUUUGAACGAAAGGGAAUACGGUUCCAAUUCCGUAACCUGUUGAGUAUCGCGUUUGUUAUUAAAUAUGGGCCUCGUGCUCAUCCUGGCAACAGGAACGACCAUAAAGAAGCCGUCGAGAGAUAUCGGAAGAGUUUUCUUUUCUGUUUAUAGCCGUACUACAUGGAAGUCUUUCGCAGAGAGAUAUGGUAGAUGGGCUA